rnacentral:rRNA from 1 species
UGCUAUACAUGCAGUCGAGCGGACAGAUGGGAGCUUGCUCCCUGAUGUUAGCGGCGGACGGGUGAGUAACACGUGGGUAACCUGCCUGUAAGACUGGGAUAACUCCGGGAAACCGGGGCUAAUACCGGAUGGUUGUUUGAACCGCAUGGUUCAGACAUAAAAGGUGGCUUCGGCUACCACUUACAGAUGGACCCGCGGCGCAUUAGCUAGUUGGUGAGGUAACGGCUCACCAAGGCGACGAUGCGUAGCCGACCUGAGAGGGUGAUCGGCCACACUGGGACUGAGACACGGCCCAGACUCCUACGGGAGGCAGCAGUAGGGAAUCUUCCGCAAUGGACGAAAGUCUGACGGAGCAACGCCGCGUGAGUGAUGAAGGUUUUCGGAUCGUAAAGCUCUGUUGUUAGGGAAGAACAAGUGCCGUUCAAAUAGGGCGGCACCUUGACGGUACCUAACCAGAAAGCCACGGCUAACUACGUGCCAGCAGCCGCGGUAAUACGUAGGUGGCAAGCGUUGUCCGGAAUUAUUGGGCGUAAAGGGCUCGCAGGCGGUUUCUUAAGUCUGAUGUGAAAGCCCCCGGCUCAACCGGGGAGGGUCAUUGGAAACUGGGGAACUUGAGUGCAGAAGAGGAGAGUGGAAUUCCACGUGUAGCGGUGAAAUGCGUAGAGAUGUGGAGGAACACCAGUGGCGAAGGCGACUCUCUGGUCUGUAACUGACGCUGAGGAGCGAAAGCGUGGGGAGCGAACAGGAUUAGAUACCCUGGUAGUCCACGCCGUAAACGAUGAGUGCUAAGUGUUAGGGGGUUUCCGCCCCUUAGUGCUGCAGCUAACGCAUUAAGCACUCCGCCUGGGGAGUACGGUCGCAAGACUGAAACUCAAAGGAAUUGACGGGGGCCCGCACAAGCGGUGGAGCAUGUGGUUUAAUUCGAAGCAACGCGAAGAACCUUACCAGGUCUUGACAUCCUCUGACAAUCCUAGAGAUAGGACGUCCCCUUCGGGGGCAGAGUGACAGGUGGUGCAUGGUUGUCGUCAGCUCGUGCCGUGAGAUGUUGGG